GACGAACGCUGGCGGCGUGCUUAACACAUGCAAGUCGAACGGAAAGGCACUGCUUUUGUGGGGUGCUCGAGUGGCGAACGGGUGAGUAACAGGUGAGUAACCUGCCCUUGACUUUGGGAUAACUUCAGGAAACUGGGGCUAAUACCGGAUAGGAGCUCAUCCUGCAUGGUGGGGGUUGGAACGUUUCGGCGGUCGGGGCUGGACUCGCGGCUUAUCAGCUUGUUGGUGGGGUAGUGGCUUACCAAGGCUUUGACGGGUAGCCGGCCUGAGUGGGUGACCGGCCACAUUGGGACUGAGAUACGGCCCAGACUCCUACGGGAGGCAGCAGUGGGGAAUAUUGCACAAUGGGCGGAAGCCUGAUGCAGCAACGCCGCGUGCGGGAUGACGGCCUUCGGGUUGUAAACCGCUUUCGCCUGUGACGAAGCGUGAGUGACGGUAAUGGGUAAAGAAGCACCGGCUAACUACGUG
rnacentral:rRNA from 1 species